UAGGGAAUCUUCCGCAAUGGGCGAAAGCCUGACGGAGCAACGCCGCGUGAGUGAUGAAGGUCUUCGGAUCGUAAAACUCUGUUAUUAGGGAAGAACAUAUGUGUAAGUAACUGUGCACAUCUUGACGGUACCUAAUCAGAAAGCCACGGCUAACUACGUGCCAGCAGCCGCGGUAAUACGUAGGUGGCAAGCGUUAUCCGGAAUUAUUGGGCGUAAAGCGCGCGUAGGCGGUUUUUUAAGUCUGAUGUGAAAGCCCACGGCUCAACCGUGGAGGGUCAUUGGAAACUGGAAAACUUGAGUGCAGAAGAGGAAAGUGGAAUUCCAUGUGUAGCGGUGAAAUGCGCAGAGAUAUGGAGGAACACCAGUGGCGAAGGCGACUUUCUGGUCUGUAACUGACGCUGAUGUGCAAAAGCGUGGGGAUCAAACAGGAUUAGAUACCCUGGUAGUCCACGCCGUAAACGAUGAGUGCUAAGUGUUAGGGGGUUUCCGCCCCUUAGUGCUGCAGCUAACGCAUUAAGCACUCCGCCUGGGGAGUACGACCGCAAGGUUG
rnacentral:rRNA from 1 species